AGUUGAGACGCGUAGACCGGGCGGAAUGCGAGGCCGUUGGGGCGCAGAAUUUACACGACGGAUGGUGGGAGAAAAAGGAUGCGCAUGCGUAGUUCGUCCGCGGACGGCUGGGAGCCGAGAGACACGCAGGGAAGGGAUGCUAGGCCCCGGUCACUCUCAGCGGAGAAGACGGAAAGAACUGCGACGAAUGGAAGGGAUUAGCUAGUCGAGGGCGGAGUUACAUAGACCCUGGAAGAAUUUCAGGUCUGGUGUCCAUUCGUGAGAGUGAAUCUUGAUACUUGGAUGGCUGAGCUCAGAUUCCAUAUGGACUGGCCAAAGAGCUUGAGAUCUUUCUAUCUCUGCAUCCCGGUGCUGAAGUUACAGACAGGAGUGAUCUGCCCAGCCUGGACAUGAGUACAGGAGGUCCAAACUUAGGUCCUCAUGCUUGUUAGCAAGCAUUUCAUCCGCUGAGCCAUUUUCCUAACUCUAGAAACAUUUAUUUGUUUUUAUUUUAUUUGUAUGCAUAUCUACAUAUAUGCAUAUGUACCAAGUGGGUUCCUGGUGCCACCUGGGUUCUUGGUUCCUGUACCAAGAGGAGUUCAGAUCUCUUUGAACUGGAAUUACUGGUGAUUGUGAGUUCCCAGAUGUAGGUGUUGGGGAUCGAAUCCAGGUCCUCUGAAAGAACAGCAAGUGCUGAGCCAUCUCUCCAGUGGUCAUCAGUAACAGUUUGAAGUACCAGAGACAUGCAUGGGAUAUUGUAGAGGCAGAGGAAUAACCUGACUGUCCUGGUGGGAGCAGGUUAAAAGAUAUAUGGGGAGAGAGAGUAGGGGGGGAGGGAGAAAGAAGCACUUGGCGUCCGCCGUAGUUCCAGUGCUGUAGAGGCGAGAGACGGAUGGAUCCCCUAGGACUCACUGGCCUGCCGCCACACUCUCAUAGGUAGGUCAAGGCCAUGAGAGAAGAGAGAACUCAUCUCAAAACCACACACACAAAACCAAGGUGGGCAUGAUCUGGGAAAUGGCAGCCAAGGUUGCUCUCUGGCCUCCAUAUGUACCACCCCCCACACACACACACACAGAGCAAUAUUAGUCCAUUUUGAGACACAUUGAAACUGAAAUGCUGAUGGGUGUCAAGGUCUGAAGGAUGCUAGGCACACCUGGAAGCUGCAAUUCCAGUUGCUGCCAAGGGUUGAAGUAUCCCUAUCCUAUCCCUACCUACACAAGAGUUACAUGAGAGUUUUACACCAGAGGGCGCCAUUGCUGCAAGAUAUAGCUCAGGUACUGGAGAGUAGAGGCAAACGUUUGCAGGUCUGUGCCUAGCUGAUGUAGGUAAAUCAAAGAAUCACUUAUCCAAUAGGGGCAAUGAAGAUGAAAAGUGAACAGGACACAGUUAAGAGUUAGCAUGUGGGGGCUCAGAGGUUAAGAGCACUGUCUGCUCUCCCAGAGGUCCUGAGUUCAAUUCCCAACAACCACAUGGUGGCUCACACCUACAUGUAAUGGGAUCCAAUACCCUCUUCUGGCCUGUAGACAUACAUGCAGGCAGAACACUGUAUACAUAAUUGAAUAAAUCUUUUAAAAAUU
ensembl:lincRNA Gm17705 predicted gene, 17705